UCCGCCCGCACCCCAGGAUGACGAACUCUGCCGCUGAACGCUGUAUUUUACAGCUCAAUUGAUGCCGGUUCCAUUAUGCUAAGUGAUUGAGGCGACGUCCACGCUUCUCAUUGGUCAGCUGACCUUCCGUUCCACAGAAACAAGACAACAUCAGAUCUGACCCAAGUAUGAUGCUAAUCUCCAUUAAGAAGUUCACUCCACAUUCUCUCGGACGGGAUGAUGCAGCCAGACAUAGCAUGAGACCAUCUACAGUUACAGACCUGAGCUCAAAGACGGUCGGAAAGGAAUCCAGAAAAAUAAUAUGCAUGGACGACUGAGCAUCUGGGUAACUAAAACAGUAUUAAAUCUACAGUCCACAGACUACAUGUGCACAUCUU